GGAGGAAUAUUGGUCAAUGGGGGAAACCCUGAACCAGCAACGCCGCGUGAAGGAAGAAGGCCCUCGGGUUGUAAACUUCUUUUGUGGGGGACGAAGAAAGUGACGGUACCCCAAGAAUAAGCUCCGGCAAACUACGUGCCAGCAGCCGCGGUAAUACGUAGGGAGCAAGCGUUGUCCGGAAUCACUGGGCGUAAAGGGCGCGUAGGCGGUCUAUUAAGUUGCAUGUGAAAUACCAGGGCUCAACCUUGGGGUGUCAUGCAAAACUGGUGGACUUGAGUGCAGUAGAGGGAAGCGGAAUUCCUGGUGUAGCGGUGAAAUGCGUAGAGAUCAGGAGGAACACCGGUGGCGAAGGCGGCUUUCUGGGCUGUAACUGACGCUGAGGCGCGAAAGCGUGGGGAGCGAACAGG
rnacentral:rRNA from 2 species